UACGUAGGGGGCAAGCGUUGUCCGGAUUUACUGGGUGUAAAGGGCGCGCAGGUGGGCUUGAUAGUUAGAGGUGAAAUCCUGUGGCUUAACUGCAGAACUGCCUUUAAUACUUCAAGUCUUGAGUGCGGAAGAGAGAGACGGAAUUCCAGGUGUAGUGGUGAAAUACGUAGAUAUCUGGAAGAACACCAGUUGCGAAGGCGGUCUCUUGGUCCGUAACUGACACUCAGGCGCGAAAGCGUGGGGAGCAAACAGG
rnacentral:rRNA from 1 species